UCUUCACUGAACUGAGAAAGCUUGCAAAACCCAGAGCAAAACCAGCAGGUAAAAGCAACUCUGACGUUAAGGGCUAUCAAGAUGAAGGUUUAUAUAAUAGUCAUGAGGGGAGGAGUACCAGUAGGACUCCUGGUUGUCAGUGAUCCACAGAUCUGGCCCCAUCCGUGGGCAACUUGGACUUACUGUUCUGUGGACUAGUUGAAGAUGUGGAUUUUUGUAAAUGGUAGUAGUUGUAGUAUCUGGGGACUCCUUCGUGGACAAAGACUGUAGAGCUGAUAGAUCAUAAUAGUACAAUUAUAUUUUGUGACAGAAACUGUACUCAUUUCAGUUCUUUAACUUAUGCGGUGGUUUUUUAAGCAAUGUGGAUUGCUAGCUUUUGUAUUACCACUUCACUUUUGAGCUGUAAAUAACCUCGAGCCCCAGUGUAAAAUUUUGAUACUGCUAUCAUAGUUAGUAUAAAUAUUAAUACUACUCGUGUCUUGAAA